AUCACUGCACAUAGUUGCACAUUUCUUUUUUCUUGUGAUGAGACCCAUUAUUCUUAAAAGAACAGUCUUCUGUGAAAUUAAAUGGAUUUUUGGAACUAGGAGUUGGAAUAGGAGCUUGCUCUGUCCACUCCAUGCAUCAACCUGGUAUUGCAGUACUUCCAGGAAUGGUGCACCUCCU
ensembl:snRNA U2 U2 spliceosomal RNA